UACAGAGGUCUCAAGCGUUGUUCGGAUUCAUUGGGCGGAAAGGGUGCGUAGGCGGCGCGGUAAGUCGGGUGUGAAAUCUUGGAGCUUAACUCCGAAACUGCAUUCGAUACUGCCGUGCUUGAGGACUGGAGAGGAGACUGGAAUUUACGGUGUAGCGGUGAAAUGCGUAGAUAUCGUAAGGAAGACCAGUGGCGACGGCGGGUCUCUGGACAGUUCCUGACGCUGAGGCACGAAGGCCAGGGGAGCAAACGGG
rnacentral:rRNA from 1 species